GAAUAUUGGACAAUGGGCGAAAGCCUGAUCCAGCAAUGCCGCGUGUGUGAAGAAGGCCUGCGGGUUGUAAAGCACUUUCAGUAGAGAAGAAAAGCCUACGGUUAAUAACCGUGAGUCUUGACGUAACCUACAGAAGAAGCACCGGCUAACUCCGUGCCAGCAGCCGCGGUAAUACGGAGGGUGCAAGCGUUAAUCGGAAUUACUGGGCGUAAAGCGUACGUAGGCGGCUUAUUAAGCAAGAUGUGAAAGCCCCGGGCUCAACCUGGGAAUUGCAUUUUGAACUGGUAGGCUCGAGUUUUGAAGAGGGUGGUAGAAUUUCCAGUGUAGCGGUGAAAUGCGUAGAUAUUGGAAGGAAUACCAGUGGCGAAGGCGGCCACCUGGUCAAAAACUGACGCUGAGGUACGAAAGCGUGGGGAGCAAACAGG
rnacentral:rRNA from 1 species